ACAAAAAUUACAAACGUUUCCAGAGCGCAAGCUAGCAGCAGCACAGUGCGCGCAGAGCAAAUGUUAGCGAAUAAAAGUGACAACAGCAAACAAUGACUGGGUCGUCAAAUGCAGCAGUCGGUUGUCUGAGUUUUUGUGAGUUGGUUGUUUGAUUUGUUACUAAACGCGAGUGUACAUAUAUACAUAAAUAACUACAUAUAUUUAAUCAUAUUCAUUGUGCCGUGACCAACAUUUCUAACGCAAUUCUCGCAAAAUAAUAAUUUACUUAACCCAACAGCUGAUAGCAUUGUGCUGUGCCAGAAAAAAUCGAAACGUUAGAUUCUUACGAAAGCAAGUAAUUAACAGCUGACAGCUUGCCUGAUAGCAGCAACAACAAAAAAUUGUAUUUCGAAAAUACGAAAUAAGCAACAGAAGAGGUGAUGUGAUGUGAUAACAACAAUUAACAAAGUGAAUUUUAAGCUUUGCUGUCAAUCACAUGCUCCAUGAUUUAUGACAUCAUUGAGUGUUUGACACCGCUCACCUUCACACGCACACACUUGAUCAGCAAGCUGUGUCUGUGCACUCAAGCAAUUAGCUAUUUAAGCGCUUCAUGUGCCAAAACUGAUAGCGAUAAGAUACAUACAUAAUCUGUUAAUUUUUAUUUAAGCGAAAUCGGUUCUAUGUUACAUACAUAUGUAUGUUACUUGUUAAUAUACUCACACAUAUAAAUAAUAAAAAAUAAAGUGUGAAAUAAUCCGGUAAUGUAACAAACAUAUG